CCGCCCUCCGACACGUGGUUGCUGUACUGGGUUGCAGCUCACCUCUUCGGGUUGUCCCUUCUCCAGAUUGUGACUGACUGGUGGUGUGGGCGACUUUGUGUUUUCUACCUCGGCGUUUCGAAUCCUGCCCUAGCAGUUUCUUUCCGACUCUUAUCUUUCGCUAGCAUGACCGGUAAAUGACGCCCUCGGAUGAUUUUGAAGUCGCCAUUUUUGGUCGGUGCUUUUGUCGUGAUAUCUGGACGGGAAUAUCACCUGGGACUGCAGUACCCCAUGGUAUCCUGUUUGGCCGAAACAGGGGAGUUGGCAGCAC
rnacentral:lncRNA from 1 species